AUUGAACGCUGGCGGCAGGCUUAACACAUGCAAGUCGAGCGGGGUGAUGGUGCUUGCACUAUCACUUAGCGGCGGACGGGUGAGUAAUGCUUAGGAAUCUGCCUAUUAGUGGGGGACAACAUCUCGAAAGGGAUGCUAAUACCGCAUACGUCCUACGGGAGAAAGCAGGGGAUCACUUGUGACCUUGCGCUAAUAGAUGAGCCUAAGUCGGAUUAGCUAGUUGGUGGGGUAAAGGCCUACCAAGGCGACGAUCUGUAGCGGGUCUGAGAGGAGGAUCCGCAACACUGGGACUGAGACACGGCCCAGACUCCUACGGGAGGCAGCAGUGGGGAAUAUUGGACAAUGGGGGGAACCCUGAUCCAGCCAUGCCGCGUGUGUGAAGAAGGCCUUAUGGUUGUAAAGCACUUUAAGCGAGGAGGAGGCUCUUUUGGUUAAUACCCAAGAUGAGUGGACGUUACUCGCAGAAUAAGCACCGGCUAACUCUGUGCCAGCCGCCGCCGUAA
rnacentral:rRNA from 1 species